CCUACGGGUGGCAGCAGUGGGGAAUAUUGCACAAUGGGCGCAAGCCUGAUGCAGCCAUGCCGCGUGUGUGAAGAAGGCCUUCGGGUUGUAAAGCACUUUCAGCGGGGAGGAAGGCGGUGAGGUUAAUAACCUCAUCGAUUGACGUUACCCGCAGAAGAAGCACCGGCUAACUCCGUGCCAGCAGCCGCGGUAAUACGGAGGGUGCAAGCGUUAAUCGGAAUUACUGGGCGUAAAGCGCACGCAGGCGGUCUGUCAAGUCGGAUGUGAAAUCCCCGGGCUCAACCUGGGAACUGUAUUCGAAACUGGCAGGCUAGAGUCUUGUAGAGGGGGGUAGAAUUCCAGGUGUAGCGGUGAAAUGCGUAGAGAUCUGGAGGAAUACCGGUGGCGAAGGCGGCCCCCUGGACAAAGACUGACGCUCAGGUGCGAAAGCGUGGGGAGCAAACAGGAUUAGAUACCCCUGUAGUC
rnacentral:rRNA from 1 species